rnacentral:RNase_P_RNA from 1 species
AUUCAAAUUUAGAUGGCCGCCUGCAUAUUUAUAUGUAGGAGGAAAGUCCGAACACCAUCAAAAGGAUAGUUGGUAACGCCAACCGGCUUAGAUUGUAAAAUUUAAGUUAGGACAAGUGCAACAGAGAAUAUUUCUAUUCGUAGACAAACGGGUAUACCCUUUACGAAUUAAGAGUGAAAAGACUGGCUAACGAGCCAGCCCGUUUCCAUAGCGAUAUGGGGAAAGAGGUAAACUUCUAUUCGGUGCAAUCCCAAGAAAGGUAGGGAGCUUGAGAAUCUUUAGCAAUUUAGAUUCCUAGAUAGAUGGCCAUCCUAGACAGAAUUCGGCUUACAGAAUUUGAAUGAGC